rnacentral:rRNA from 1 species
CGGCGUGCUUAACACAUGCAAGUCGAACGAGACGAUUUAGAAGCUUGCUUUUAUGAGUCGAGUGGCAAACGGGUGAGUAACGCGUAGACAACCUGCCGCAAAGAUGGGGACAACAGUCCGAAAGGACUGCUAAUACCGAAUGUUGUAUCUCCUCCGCAUGGAAGAGAUAUUAAAGAUGGCCUCUACUUGUAAGCUAUCGCUUUGCGAUGGGUCUGCGUCUGAUUAGCUAGUUGGUGGGGCAACGGCCUACCAAGGCGACGAUCAGUAGCCGGUCUGAGAGGAUGAACGGCCACAUUGGAACUGAGACACGGUCCAGACUCCUACGGGAGGCAGCAGUGGGGAAUCUUCCGCAAUGGGCGAAAGCCUGACGGAGCAACGCCGCGUGAGUGAAGAAGGUCUUCGGAUCGUAAAGCUCUGUUGUCGGGGACGAAUGUUGAGACCAAGAACAUAGGUUUCAAAUGACGGUACCUGACGAGGAAGCCACGGCUAACUACGUG